ACACUCCUACGGGAGGCAGCAGUGGGGAAUAUUGGACAAUGGGCGCAAGCCUGAUCCAGCCAUGCCGCGUGAGUGAUGAAGGCCCUAGGGUUGUAAAGCUCUUUCACCGGUGAAGAUAAUGACGGUAACCGGAGAAGAAGCCCCGGCUAACUUCGUGCCAGCAGCCGCGGUAAUACGAAGGGGGCUAGCGUUGUUCGGAUUUACUGGGCGUAAAGCGCACGUAGGCGGACUAUUAAGUCAGGGGUGAAAUCCCGGGGCUCAACCCCGGAACUGCCUUUGAUACUGGUAGUCUUGAGUUCGAGAGAGGUGAGUGGAAUUCCGAGUGCAGAGGUGAAAUUCGUAGAUAUUCGGAGGAACACCAGUGGCGAAGGCGGCUCACUGGCUCGAUACUGACGCUGAGGUGCGAAAGCGUGGGGAGCAAACAGGAUUAGAAACCCUGGUAGUCCCAUGA
rnacentral:rRNA from 1 species